GACGAACGCUGGCGGCGUGCUUAACACAUGCAAGUCGUACGGUAAGGCCCUUUCGGGGGUACACGAGUGGCGAACGGGUGAGUAACACGUGAGUAACCUGCCCACAACUUUGGGAUAACGCUAGGAAACUGGUGCUAAUACUGGAUAUGUGCUCCUGCUGCAUGGUGGGGGUUGGAAAGCUCCGGCGGUUGUGGAUGGACUCGCGGCCUAUCAGCGUGUUGGUGGGGUAGUGGCUUACCAAGGCUUUGACGGGUAGCCGGCCUGAGAGGGUGACCGGCCACAUUGGGACUGAGAUACGGCCCAGACUCCUACGGGAGGCAGCAGUGGGGAAUAUUGCACAAUGGGCGGAAGCCUGAUGCAGCAACGCCGCGUGCGGGAUGACGGCCUUCGGGUUGUAAACCGCUUUCGCCUGUGACGAAGCGUGAGUGACGGUAAUGGGUAAAGAAGCACCGGCUAACUACGUG
rnacentral:rRNA from 1 species